rnacentral:rRNA from 1 species
UACGUAGGGACCGAGCGUUGUCCGGAUUCCUUGGGCGUAAAGAGCUCGUAGGCGGCCACUCAAGUCGAAUGUGAAACCUCGAGGCUUAACCUCGAGCCUGCAUUCGAUACUGGGCGGCUAGAGUCUGGUAGGGGGAUCUGGAAUUCCUGGUGUAGCGGUGGAAUGCGCAGAUAUCAGGAGGAACACCGGUGGCGAAGGCGGGAUCCUGGGCCAGUACUGACGCUGAGGAGCGAAAGCGUGGGGAGCAAACGGG